AGCAUAUCCACCACCGAGCCAGCAGGCACCACCACAAUAUUCCGAUCCACCACCGAGCCAGCAGGCGCAUCCUCCUCAAGGGUAUCAUCAAGGUCCGUACGUUGCACCACCUGCAGCUGAAAAAAAGAGGCAUAAAUGUUGCUGCAAGCGCCUCUACUGUUGGCGUUGUUGUCUGGAUUGUUGCUGCGAGUGCUGCUCCAGUAUUUGAUUUUGAUGAGCGUGAUUCAUCAUUACUCAAAUCACAUCUCUGGGAAUCCUUGUGGGAAAUUGACCUAAUUUGUUUGGUAUCCAUUUAUGUAAUAUAUUAUCUUUUUCAUGUAAUGUGACUUUUAAUUAUUUCAAUUAAAUAUGCAACAAUAAUGGUGUUUUUCUUUCAAAUUAAUCUGUACUUUAUAUUAGUACCUAUGAAUUUUAUGUUUUUGUCA